ACUACAUUCGAAAUAAGAACCCCUUGUAUCACUAAAGAAUAUCAAGCCAAUAAAAGCUGUACAAUAGGGGAAUUAUAGCUCAGUUCAAAUCAGUCAGUGUUCUGUGCUCUUGUGAGACUACUACAAUGUUCCUUUUACUCUUAAUCAGUUUCUUUACGACCGCUAGUGCACUUUACGAAAAUAAAUUUGUUGCUACCAAUGGUUGUCGGCAGUAUAAUUCAAACCACGGAUACAAUGUCGCGCAUCCAUUUUUCUCGACACUAGAAUUUGAAAACAUUAUACAACGACCAGGUAAAGAGAGAGAUGACAACCGCACCAUAAUUCGACUGGGAGUUUUGGCCAAAAACGAUGGACACAUUCGGCUUACAUGGACUCCGCAUCCUUUUAGCUCAAGGAAUAAACUGUAUGAAAUCGUCCUUUCGGGUUGGAGUAAUACCAACCACGAAGUGCGUUCGUACUAUACCAUCAAUGAAGCACAACGGGAUAGUGUUCAGGCGUACACGCAUCAAUCCAGUCUCGGAGCGCUGUCCGAGUUUGUGCCGUAUAUGUUCACGAUGGAAUUUCUCGGAGCGAAGGGUAUACGAUUUACGAAGGACGGUGACCGGAAACCAUUUCUUGAAGUGAAUGACUUGAAUGCGCUUCCCCACGAGUACAUAGGUUUCUGUAACUGGGAUGUUCCGGCUAUCUAUUUCUUUGAUUGUCCCUUGCUGGAUAAUGAGAUUUAAGAUAAUGAUCUAAAACUAGAAAUUCAAGGUCAUGCCUAAAGUAUUGCGAAAAUAUAUGUUUGAUUAAUGGAUGGAAAAUGCUGCACACGAUGUUCCAGAUUUUAAUGUAAAACUGCACUGAUGUAGUUAUUUAACAUCAGUGGCUCAUAAAGAGGUUUUUUUAAGAUUUUUUUGAACAUAAAAUCAACUUGAGAAACAAAUUAUCUUUUGUGUAAGUUUCAGCCCAUACAAGAUUCAGCCCGCAAUUUUUACCUGAAAUAAAUAAGUGAAAUACUUUCUUACUCGGAAGGCUUUUUUGCACAAGAAAGACUAUUAUCGUGAUUGAAAGUUGAAAUUUAAAAUAUUGUCGGGGACAAUCCAUCUCAUCGAUACAUGCGCUGAACUACUUGAGUGUGAUGGUCGACAAUCGGUUAAAUUACAACAGCCACGUCGACUAUGUAAGUGAGAAGGCUGCGAGGACAACUAACGCAUAGGCAAGGAUGACGCCGAAUCAUGGAGGAGCAAGACGCAGCAAGCGACGUUUCCUGGCGGGUGUGUCAUCCUCAACACUGAGGUAUGACGUACCGACCAGGGCUGCGCUGAACUCAAAGUGGAACCGGACGAAGUUGACAAGCAUGUUUCGCCUAAUGGCUUUUCGUGCCGCGUGUACGUACAGAACGAUAUCAUCGAAGGCGGUUUGCGUAAUUGCCGGAAUGGUUUCCAUCUGCAUCACUCACGUAGAAGACGUGGAAUGCUACCAGCGCAGAAAUACACGCAACAAGUGGGACAACGCGUAGAAAGGAAGGUGGACCCGCCAACUCAUCCCAAAUGUGUCGGUUUGGUUGCAUAGGAACCAUGGAGAGGUGAGCUUCCAUUUGACGCAGUUUUUGUCCGGGCACGGUUGCUUCCGGAAGUAGGGAAGCCCGGGGCUAGUUGGGGUAAGUUGGCGGAAUCCCCUUUUCUCCGUUUGUAAUAUACAUAAAGCGCUGUCUCUCAUUGUGAACCUCAAGUAAUGUGAAACGCAUUAUCCAAUGAGUUUUUGUUGCAAAACAUUUUGUUUAGUGGAAGCUGUGGGCGAUAUUGUGUUUUUGAACAUACUUUGUAAAUUUUCAUAAUUUUAAACAUUUUGUGUUAUUUAAGGUGGUUUUCAAUCUAAAGGGCGAACACGAAAUUAUUGCGACAGCGAAAAUGUCAUGCUAAUGUUUUUAUAAUGUUUAAACUCAAACCAAAAUUUUAGGGUAGUUUUAUACAUAUAUUCACUUCAAAAAUCAAAAGAAAAAUUAAUCGAUGGAGCCUUGAGUGUAAAAUUGAACGCAUUUUCGCUUGAUGCCCUCCAUCAAAGUCUUUACAGUGUCAUCCGGUAUCAGUUUCUCAGUUUUUUCCAUUUUCUUAACAUGCCCUUCUCGUCUUUGACUGUCUUCUUGCUGUUCCGAAGUUCCCGCUUCAUCAUUGCCCAGUACUGCUCCACCGGGCGCAGCUCCGGACAGUUUGGCGGAUUCAUGUCCUUUGGAACAAAAUGGACAGAAUUGGCCUCAUACCACUCCAGGACACUUUUAGAAUCUGGCCAAAAUAGCGGAGCUUCGUCGUGCUGCUGCAAGAACGGCAAAAAGCGCUUCUCGAGGCACUCAGAUUUGUAGAUCUCGCCAUUUACUGUGCUCUUUGUCACGAAAGGCUCACUCCUCAGUGCGCAAGAGCAGAUGGCCUGCCAAAUGAGAUAUUUGGAGGCGAACUUCGACAUUUUCUUCUUCUUAAAUUUGUCGUCCACAUAGAACUUGCUCUUGCCGGUGAAAAACUCCAACCCCGGAGUUUGCUUAAAAUCGGCUUUUAUAUACGUUUCGACGUCCAUCACACAGCAGCCAUAUUUUGUCAGCAUCUUCUCGUAGAGCUUCCGUGCCCGAGUUUUAGCCGUCGAUUGUUGCCGCUCAUCGCGGUUUGAGGAGUUCUGUACCUUGUAUGUAUGUAGUCCAGCUCUCUUCUUUGCAUUCUGGACGUAGCUCUGCGACAUGCUGAUCUUUUUAGCCAAAUCACGGCUUGAGACGUUGCACUGAUAAUAUAAAUUCGUAAAUAUAAUGAAAUCGAUCAUACAAUACACGAAUUCAUUCGUCGUUUUCUGCAACGAAGUUUUUCGUGCAUUCUAAAUAGUAGGUUUCGUUCAUUUCAUGAGCAAGAAUGGCCGCUUGGUGAACGAAAACUUUCGUAAAUUUUACACGUUUAAUGUAUACUGCACGAAUAUUAUCGUUGAUAACGACAUUAUUUUUCGUGAAUGAAACGAAAUGUUUUGUUUAUUUUAAUAAACGUGUGUGUAUACUACGAACGAUUUCGUUGGUCGCACGAAUUAAUUUCGUUUAUCUUAGAAAAGUGUUCGCAUUUAUUAUCCUCUUAUUGUUUUCAGUCGAUCUUUUGGGAUCGAUGCUUGACAACAUCGAUUUUUUUUAAUUUAAAAAAAUCGAUGUGGCCAAAUCGAUUUUAUUGUGGUACGAAGAAAUGGCCGCUGAUGAACAAAAGUUUUCGUAAAUUUUACUUAUUUAGUGUACAUUGCAAGAAUGUAAUCGUUGAUAACGACAUUAUUUUUCGUGAACGAAACGAAAUGUUUCGUUUGUUUCAAUAAAUGUUUGUGUAUAUUACGAACGACUUCGUUGGUCGCACAAAUUCAUUUCGUUCAUCUUUCGUAUUUUCGUAUUUAUUAUCUUCUUAUUUUUUCAUUCGAUCUUUUGGGAUCGAUGUUUGACAACACCGAUUUUUUAGUUAAAAAGACAGAUCUGGCAAAAUCGAUUUUAUUGUGAUAUGAAGAAAUGGUCGCUUGAUGAACGAAAGUUUUCGUGAAUUUUACUUAUUUAGUGUACAUUGCACGAAUGCUGUCGUUGAAAACGACAUUAAUUUUCGUGAAUGAAACGAAAUGUUUUGUUUAUUUUAAUAAACGUCUAUAUAUAUUACGAACAAUCUCGUUGAUCGCACGAAUUCAUUUCGUUCAUCUAAGAGAAAUUUUCGUAUUUAAUAACAUAUUCUUUUACAUUGCUCCGGCAGAGAAAAACUCAAAAUUAUUCAUGCAAAACCAUCGAGCGAUGGCUCAACUGAAUCCGUACUGCACCGGAUUCUGGAUCAACUAGAAGCGGACGAGGUUUAGAAAAUCUUCCUGAAACCGGUGGACACGGAUACGGCUACUAUAUAGACAGAUCGAGACCGUCGUGAAUAUCAACAAUUAUCUGACGUAUAGCAACAAUGACUCCAUAUUCCACCUCUAUUGAAGCUCUGUUGACGUUGACGGUUCGACGAAUGGUGCUCGUAAAUAUUAUAAAAAUAUUCGUAUAUAUCAGCGAACAAGUCGUUUGCCGAACGAAGCUGUUUCAUAAUAAGCCAACUAAAGUGGUUUCGUGGGUUUCACGAAAAACUCGUAAUAAAAAAUAAAUGUGUUUCAAUAGAACUACGAACGAUUCAUUAUAUGUACGAAAAAUUCGUAUAUUUUAUGAAAAUUAUCUGUACGAAACUAAUGCAUAGCGAUUUACGAAUAUAUUCUAUCAGUG